rnacentral:misc_RNA from 1 species
AUUUUUGCAUCAUUAUGUAAAUUAAUUGAAGAAACUAUUUAAGAUUAAAAUCAAUGUAGUAAUACUGGUCUCCAGGCAAGAAGUUCUAGAUAAUGUUGGAUUUAUGGAAUCAGUUUACUAAUGUGUCAAUAAUGUACCUGUUUUGAUAUAUUUUAGCUGUCACUGUUUAGAGAACCAAAAAUAAAAUGAGAUUUAU